rnacentral:rRNA from 1 species
UACGAAGGUGGCGAAUGUUGCUCGGAUUCACUGGGCGUAAAGCGUCGGUAGGUGGUGUGUCAAGUCAGAGGUGAAAGCCCCGCGCUUAACGUGGGAAUUGCCUUUGAAACUAGCGCACUUGAGAAUACCAGAGGAUGGCGGAAUAUCCGGUGUAGAGGUAAAAUUCAUAGAUAUCGGAUGGAACACCCACGGCGAAGGCAGCUAUCUGGGGUAUUUCUGACACUGAGCGACGACAGCGUGGGGAUCAAACAGG